rnacentral:rRNA from 1 species
GCGGCCUAUCAGCUUGUUGGUGAGGUAAUGGCUCACCAAGGCGACGGCGGGUAGCCGGCCUGAGAGGGCGACCGGCCACACUGGGACUGAGACACGGCCCAGACUCCUACGGGAGGCAGCAGUGGGGAAUAUUGGGCAAUGGAGGGAACUCUGACCCAGCGACGCCGCGUGCGGGAUGAAGGCCUUCGGGUUGUAAACCGCUUUCAGCAAGGAAGAAGCGAAAGUGACGGUACUUGCAGAAGAAGCACCGGCUAACUAUGUGCCAGCAGCCGCGGUAAUACAUAGGGUGCAAGCGUUGUCCGGAAUUAUUGGGCGUAAAGAGCUCGUAGGUGGUUCGUCACGUCGGAUGUGAAAAUCUGGGGCUUAACCCCAGACCUGCAUUCGAUACGGGCGAGCUAGAGUGUGGUAGGGGAGACUGGAAUUCCU